rnacentral:lncRNA from 1 species
GUUGCUUGAAAACUCAGCAGCCCAGGUCCAUUAGCCAAACUCCGGCCACCGUGUUUAAGUCCCGGGUGCUCUGCGACAAGACCGACCGCCGCUAUGUGCCCAUGCGUGGCGGCAUCUUGAAGGGCAUACUACGGUGCCUCUGCUUCUCGAGGCGUCGUCAUGGAUCGUCGGAGAGGCGGAGUCUGAAGGUCUGCAUAAAGAAAGCAUGCUGAAUCCGGUUUCGUGUUCUUGUUGCUAGAUAUAUAUAUAUAUAUACACAAAUGCUUAUGUCCC